rnacentral:rRNA from 1 species
UACGAAGGGGGCUAGCGUUGCUCGGAAUCACUGGGCGUAAAGGGUGCGUAGGCGGGUCUUUAAGUCAGGGGUGAAAUCCUGGAGCUCAACUCCAGAACUGCCUUUGAUACUGAAGAUCUUGAGUUCGGGAGAGGUGAGUGGAACUGCGAGUGUAGAGGUGAAAUUCGUAGAUAUUCGCAAGAACACCAGUGGCGAAGGCGAGUCUCUGGACGACUCCUGACACUGAGGCACGAAAGCCAGGGGAGCAAACAGG